CUAGGAUACUGUUUGUCAGUUUCUCUGCAUAAAACAUCACAUCUUGCGUAAUGCUUUUGCAAAAACCACUGAUCAGCGGAUCUGGCCCUGUUAAGUGAGUUUAUGACAGGUGGGGCCCGCCAGUCAGGCUGACGUGGCACCGCUUAACAUCUCACAUGUAACCGCGACGUUUGGCAGUAUUAUCAUCAUGUGAGGCCCUAUGUGGUCCACAUGUCAUUGGAAGAAAAAAAGUGUUCAUCUUAUCUUCACCACAUAACACUGUCCCGAGCCGUGGCAGAGGCAUGCCGUCGCCCGUCCCGACCCCGGCCGCCGGCCCAUCCCGACCCCGGCCGAGGCAGAGGCCCACCGUCGCUUUUGCCGCACCAAGGGCGAAGAAGAAGCCGCCGCCAGUCCCGCCCCUGCGCCCGGCCGAGGAGUGGCCUGCCGCCAUGCGUCGGUGGGUUUCGAUCUUGUCGGAGCUGGCGCUCGCCCCCCUCCCCCGCGGACCAGCCGCAGCUCGCCAACCGCCCCCGCCACACCUUCUCGCCUGGAACCACCUCGUGGCCACCCAGUUCGUCCAGAUCCGGUCGGAUAGAGGCAUCCUCGCUGGUCGCACACCCGAAGCCCUGACUCCGCCCCUGCCCAUAGCUGGCGAAGGUGCGGCUUGCACGCGAGCGUCCGCUGGAAGGAGCAAACCUGCAUCCCCCGCGGCGGGUCGAGCCACACCUCGAACUCUGGCGGGCGGCCAAGGUGGCAUGGCCGCGUGUAGCAGCACGCAGAAGAGGCCCUAGCCCCCGCUCGCCCCAACGAGCUCCGGCAGCGCACCCUUGUACUUCGGCGUCGUCACGGGCCGCUCCAGCAUCACCGGAGACCGCCUCCACGAACCUCCCGCGCCCCACAACACCUGCACGCCACCUGCUCGAUAAAAUGACGCAAAGAGUAAGUGGUUUGAGAGAGAGAGAGGGAGGGAGGAGUGUUUCACUGGCAACUGGGUCCCCCGUCCAACAAAACGUUUCGAUCUAACGGCGUGAGAGAUUGAUGCCAUGUCAGCCUGAUUGGCGGGCCCCGUCUGUCAUAAACCCACUUAUCGGUGCCCGAUCCGCCGAUCAGUUGUAUUUGCAAGUUGUUUAGGAGAGAGGUGGUGUUUUUUGCCAAGAAACUGUAACAUAGUGAUUUCUGCUAAUCUAGCCCUCAAACUGGUGGUUUUCUGCAAUUUACUCGCUGCGUGUGCUUCUCUCCGCUCUAACUUUUCUCCAGGAUGUAUUUAUUUCCGAGGGAGGUAGCAUGCUACUUUUCUUCGGUUAAUUGCAUCUCAGGUGAUGUAACUUACGAGCAGCUGAGAGUUUGAGAAUGCAAUCACUAUGUAAUCAGCAGUCUGUCAUCUCCAACUAUAUAUGUGAAGAUAGCAAGGCUGCAAAAGAAAAAAAAAAUCCCAAGUUAGGGGAUGAUUGGUAGCCGUUACUAUUUCACCCCCUUCUGCACUAUUGAGUGCUGCAUAGUGCAUAGCUAGGAAUCUGUCGGCAGGAUCACAUGUGAACAGAAUGCAGAGGAGGGUGGAGGCGUCUCUCUCUAUUAUUGACCGCUCUUGCUCGAAGUCUCCACCCUCACUCCCACUUCCACUCUCCCACUCCAUUAUUGAAGUUCUUUCUGAUUCCUCGCCUCUUUCUCCCCAUCUCCGUCACCACCACCUCUACCCAGCCGCCACCCACCACCCGUACCUCCUGCAGCCUUUUGCCGAUCACCUUCUCUCACCGCCGGUAGGGAGACGAGGAGAACUUAAGAAGCAGAGCACAAGCAGGCAGAUCCAUGCAGCGGAUCGAGGAAGACGACGGAUGGUUAUAAGUACUAGCU